rnacentral:rRNA from 1 species
CAGAUCCCUAUGGGAUGCACCAGUGGGGAAUUUUCCGCAAUGGGCGAAAGCCUGACGGAGCAAUACCGCGUGAGGGAGGAAGGCUUUUGGGUUGUAAACCUCUUUUCUCAGGGAAGAACCAAUGACGGUACCUGAGGAAUCAGCAUCGGCUAACUCCGUGCCAGCAGCCGCGGUAAUACGGAGGAUGCAAGCGUUAUCCGGAAUGAUUGGGCGUAAAGCGUCUGUAGGUGGCUUUUUAAGUCCGCCGUCAAAUCCCAGGGCUCAACCCUGGACAGGCGGUGGAAACUACCAAGCUGGAGUACGGUAGGGGCAGAGGGAAUUCCUGGUGUAGCGGUGAAAUGCGUAGAGAUCAGGAAGAACACCGGUGGCGAAGGCGCUCUGCUAGGCCGUAACUGACACUGAGGGACGAAAGCUAGGGGAGCGAAUGGGAUUAGAUACCCACGUAGUCCUAGUUG